rnacentral:rRNA from 1 species
GUGAGGAAUUUUCCGCAAUGGGCGAAAGCCUGACGGAGCAAUGCCGCGUGAAGGAUGAAGGCCUAUGGGUUGUAAACUUCUUUUCUCAGAAAAGAAUUAUGACGGUAUCUGAGGAAUAAGCAUCGGCUAACUCUGUGCCAGCAGCCGCGGUAAGACAGAGGAUGCAAGCGUUAUCCGGAAUGAUUGGGCGUAAAGCGUCUGUAGGUUGUUUAAAAAGUAUUCUGUCAAAGAUUAGGGCUUAACCCUAGAUAGGCAGAAUAAACUAUUAAGCUAGAGUGUGGUAGAGGCAGAGGGAAUUCCCGGUGGAGCGGUGAAAUGCGUAGAUAUCGGGAGGAACACCAAAGGCGAAGGCACUCUGCUGGGCCAAUACUAACACUGAGAGACGAAAGCGAGGGGAGCAAAUGGGAUUAGAUACCCCGGUAGUCC